CUGCUCCCUUCAAAGUAGACGGGAAAGCCCGGCACAAGAUGGCGUCGGGAGCACCGUGAAGCAGCAUCAUCGUUCGGAAGGCCUCCAGAUGAUCAACCGGGUCCGACGUCCUGUCGUAGCUUUCGAACUGGGGAAGCUUGAAAUUCGGCGGGAUCGGUUCCUGCAUAAUAAUUUGGGAGAAGGGAGGGUCAGUGCAAAUAUCCUCACCAUAAGCGGGAGGUGCGUGGUGGGGUUCUUCGAUCCGCCGGUUCAUCUCCUGGAGCCUCCGAUCCAGGAAGUCCUCUCGACUUCGAGUCUCGAGGGUCCUUUGGCAGAACGGGGGCAGGGAUCUUCCAGGGGUGGAGUCGUGGUCCGAUUGAGGGCUCUCCACCCUCGGAUUCGCC
rnacentral:lncRNA from 1 species